rnacentral:rRNA from 1 species
UACGGAGGGGGCUAGCGUUGUUCGGAAUUACUGGGCGUAAAGCGCGCGUAGGCGGCUUUGUAAGUUAGAGGUGAAAGCCCGGAGCUCAACUCCGGAAUUGCCUUUAAGACUGCAUCGCUAGAAUCAUGGAGAGGUUAGUGGAAUUCCGAGUGUAGAGGUGAAAUUCGUAGAUAUUCGGAAGAACACCAGUGGCGAAGGCGACUUACUGGACACAUAUUGACGCUGAGGUGCGAAAGCGUGGGGAGCAAACAGG